GGCCAUGUAGUGUUGAAACACUAGUUCCCAUAUGAUCACCGAAGUUAAGCAACAUUGAGCCUGGCUAGGUGACUUCUUGGGAAUACCAGGUGCUGUAAG